UCGCGAGGGAAGCGGACGAGAAAGAAAGAAAGAAAGAGGGGAGAGCGGCAGCAGCGGAGGAGGAGGAGGAGAGUGGGUUUGGGAUUAGAGGAGAGGGGGGGCGCUUGGCUCCGGCGCCCGCGCGUCCGUCCGCGCCCCGUUUACCGCCCGUUCCUCCUGUCGGCCUAGAAGCACCCGCCGGAGAGCAAGGUGUGGCUGCUCGCGUUCGAGCUCCUGCGGAAGGCGGCGAAGCCGUUCCAGCAGCUGUGGGUCUAGUACGACCUCUCCGUGUGUUUGGCCGUGGCACCGAAACCGAAGCACUGCAAAAGUCUAGGGUCCCGUCAACUCUGACGAUAGUUACUAUACGUGUUGUUUCUCAAUCUACCAGCAUGGUAAAGUCACUUGUCCCGACUCGGCUUCAACGUUUGCCUACUGUGUGCCAUGUCGUCACCACCACCGCCACCACUGGCACCCCUAAUAGCACCACCAUUCCCACUACCGGGUGGGGGACCGUUAACGAAACUCACACCGGCACGACCAGUGACCCGAGCACUGACGGGAUUGGGACCACCGCCGGCAAGACCCGCUAAGGGAAGGUUCAAGUCACCGCCGCCACCGUCCCCUCUGGCGAAAAGACCUAGUCUGUCCAAACCGCUGGCAAUGCACCUACUAGCGAUGCUACCACCGGCAAUACCACCCAUGGCACUCGGAUAACUGUCGUCUCUGUCUAUACUACCCCCGGCACUAGCAAUACGGUCACUGGCCAUGGGAAGACCACCACUGGCGAAACCACGUCUGUCCAUACCUCGACGAGGCCUGGCAAUACGUGGUUCACCACCACCUCCGCCGAUACCGUCCCUCGCCCUCUCUUCGAUGCUCUCUCUACCUGAAGCACCACCACCGCCGCGGAUACUGUCCUCACCGGGUUCCCCGCCACGUUCGAUGCUGUCCCUGCCGGGUUCCCCGCCGUAGCCGCCACCGAUACUGUCCCUGCCAGGUGCACCUCCGCCGCGGCUGAUACCGUCGCCUCCCGGACGAGCGAUGCUCCCUCCUCCAAUGUCCCUCUCCGGACGCGGCAUGCUGGCGGGGUCCCCUCCUCCUGCGAAGCUGCUGGCGAUGAUCACUGGCUGGACAACGACGUCAGCUCGAUACAUGAACGCAAAAAUUAAGAAAGGUCAAACCGUACCGGCUUACGAACUACUCAUGAGACAGCCGUGCCAAUAGAGAAAAGACAUGACGCUUACAAUGAGGAACCCGUCACCAACUCAAAUGGGUCGUCUGACAAACGCACGACGCAACUUAGAAGGCACGGCACCGUCAACCGACAACAGUGGAAACGACCUACUACCAAAUACAUGACGACGUACUAUAAUAGUUAGGCUUGAAUACUUUAGGACGACGAGACGACACCAACUACACUUAAGGACGACGAGACGCCACCUACUUAGACUACCGAGCCAUUAGAGAUAAGACAUGGUCUUUACCAUGGUGUUGACCUCAAAUAGGUCGUCUGGCUCGGACGAUACUGGACCAACAAAACCGACAACCGAUGACUUACACCAACGACUUGAACACGUCCUAAAGUAACUAGACUUAAAUACUUUAGGAAGGCCUACUGAACCUCUUCUCACUGGUUUUUUACAACGAAACUCUGUCUCGUAGUACAAAACCGCUUACCCGAACAGAAGGUAGUGCACAAUAAAUGUUUACAUCUUUUUCAAAAAACAAAAACAAAUCAGGUCACAAAGACAUUUUAACGACACUUUUUACAUGAGCUCACAGCUGGGAAGCACGAUACCUACGUUUGAAUGAAAAACUAAGUUUUGUGUAAACUUCAAA
rnacentral:rRNA from 1 species